rnacentral:rRNA from 1 species
CACGUAGGGUGCAAGCGUUGUCCGGAAUCAUUGGGCGUAAAGAGCUCGUAGGCGGCUUAGUAAGUCGGGUGUGAAAACCCCAGGCUCAACCUGGGGACGCCACCCGAUACUGCUAUAGCUAGAGUCCAGUAGGGGAGUGUGGAAUUCCCAGUGUAGCGGUGAAAUGCGCAGAUAUUGGGGGAACACCAGCGGCGAAGGCGGCACUCUGGGCUGGCACUGACGCUGAGGAGCGAAAGCGUGGGUAGCGAACAGG